CGUUACUUUCCCUCUCGCCUGUUCAACCGCUAUGAAAACGCGACGAUUCGCGGGAUAUGAAAUUAUCGUACCGCCACUAAAGGCUUGCGACCGUGCUAGUAACACCCAGUUCCAGCACUUUAAAAGUCCAGCUUACACGAUGCAACUGUACUUCGGUAAGAAAUUUCAAGAGGAACAAAAUCGACGCUUUUCAUUCAGCUAGAUAAGAAAUUGGGAGGUCUCUCUGUUCCUGGCCGAUCAAGGGAACCGGCGGUGGCGGCCAAGCAGUACGUUCUGAGCUUUUCCCACGAUCAACUUGGAGUUCCUGCUUUACGAUGACACUUUUAUACCUCCCAUUAUCCUUUACGUGGCAGUUCAGCUUAUUCGAAAGUUUACUGCAAGCGUAAAAG